UUUGUUUAUCUAAGUUUUAUUCCGCAGACAUUGUGUUCUUGACGUUUUUGAAUCCGGGUUUCUCUUAAUCUAUUCAGUAUUCAGUAUUUGUUCUUGAUUUCGUUUACUAAGUUGUUCAUCCUGUUAUCAUCUUGGUAUUACUCUGUUGUUAUCAUGCUUUCAUUCUAUUCAACGUUUAUGUUCUCUGCAAUGAUGUCUGGGUAGUGAAUAGGUUUCUGAGGAUGGGUUAGAGUAGUUUAGAAUUCUCAGUAUGCUAGGUGGUUGAGUUUGAUUUAUAGAUCCCUUCUGGAUUAGUUGUUCUUAAUGCCUAUUGUUUUCUGAUCAACUGAAAUUUGAGCCAAGACAUUUCUGCGCCCGAAAGGUGUUCGAUGAAAUGUCUUAACCACUUAUUCCAGAGAUUCGUGGCUCUGUACCAAGGUAUUGGUUGCAUGGAGCGCUUUGGCUUUAACUUGUUGAUUCGUAAUGCCUGUUAGGUUAGCUCUCGUCAAUGGUGAUUGAGUCUGGGACUGGUUUAACUUGAGGGUCUCUAUUGCGGUGGCACUUAGACUUGGUUAUCAAACUUGUUGUCUAGGGAUAAUUUAUUGACCAUGUCAAUCACCUGUAAAUUGAGGAAACGAAACUACUCAAUUACCCCAUCCUCGGGAAUUUCUUUAUCUAAUUGAUUUCUUUGUUUACUUUGCUAUUGUUUAUUGCAUCUUGUUACAUGUUACCUAGUUUUUGCAUUUCUUGCUUGUUACUGGACUAGAUAUUCGACCACCCAGUUGUUUGGGAACAGACUGUGCAGUCGAGUAUCUCUGUUACAUUUUUUGUUUGCUACUCGACCUGUCACUUGACCACAUUCAGUGCUCUGCAACGAGCUGUGUUGGUCGAGUGUUUUAUUGUUUCUGCUUGAUUUUCUGUUUCCUUCAUGUUCACUUAUGACUGCUAGAACACACCAAAACCUGUUAUUGCUUGGCUUGACUCUGUGAACUCUGAUUGCAUCUUGAUUGUUAGCAUCACGCCCAUUUGGAUUGACAACCUAAAAUACUACAACGACAUGAAUGGUGUUUUAGGAUAAUUGACUU
rnacentral:sRNA from 1 species